UUCAGAUUAUAAAAUUAAUGCAUUGUCACAAUAUCCGUAUACAUAUAUUUUUCUAAUCAGCCAAGCAUAGUGCAACCCACGUGAUUACUCACUAUAUCCUUCUCUCAUUGCCUAUCUUUGCCUUGCCAUUCCUCUACACAAAGAGACAGAGAGAGAAAGAGAACGAGGGUGAGAGAGAGAGAGAGAGAGAGAGAGAUGGAACCUCCACCAGCACAAGCCAUAGAAACUUCCAGCAAGAAUUUCCCUCCACAAGAAGAUGAACAGGACAAAGCCAUCAAUGAAAGUUGUUCUUGUUGUUAUGACUGCACAGAUAGCUGCUUUGAUUACUUAUGCUGCUACCUCUGUUGAAGAGCGUAUUUUUCUCACCUAAAUUCCAUAUGGUUAAUAAUUUUAGCAUUAUGAAUUUCCAUGGGGUGUACAAGAAAUAAACUUGUUAUGGUUUUUCCUUUUACCAAUUUGUUAGUGAAAACCAUAUAAAUUCUACGUCUUGCGUUGCUUAGUGUAUUAACCUUGUGUUAUUGAGAUUCAA